CGAAUGCUGACAUAAGUAACGAUAAAGCGGGUGAAAAGCCCGCUCGCCGGAAGACCAAGGGUUCCUGUCCAACGUUAAUCGGGGCAGGGUGAGUCGACCCCUAAGGCGAGGCCGAAAGGCGUAGUCGAUGGGAAACAGGUUAAUAUUCCUGUACUUGGUGUUACUGCGAAGGGGGGACGGAGAAGGCUAUGUUGGCCGGGCGACGGUUGUCCCGGUUUAAGCGUGUAGGCUGGUUUUCCAGGCAAAUCCGGAGAAUCAAGGCUGAGGCGUGAUGACGAGGCACUACGGUGCUGAAGCAACAAAUGCCCUGCUUCCAGGAAAAGCCUCUAAGCAUCAGGUAACAUCAAAUCGUACCCCAAACCGACACAGGUGGUCAGGUAGAGAAUACCAAGGCGCUUGAGAGAACUCGGGUGAAGGAACUAGGCAAAAUGGUGCCGUAACUUCGGGAGAAGGCACGCUGAUAUGUAGGUGAAGCGACUUGCUCGUGGAGCUGAAAUCAGUCGAAGAUACCAGCUGGCUGCAACUGUUUAUUAAAAACACAGCACUGUGCAAACACGAAAGUGGACGUAUACGGUGUGACGCCUGCCCGGUGCCGGAAGGUUAAUUGAUGGGGUCAGCGCAAGCGAAGCUCUUGAUCGAAGCCCCGGUAAACGGCGGCCGUAACUAUAACGGUCCUAAGGUAGCGAAAUUCCUUGUCGGGUAAGUUCCGACCUGCACGAAUGGCGUAAUGAUGGCCAGGCUGUCUCCACCCGAGACUCAGUGAAAUUGAACUCGCUGUGAAGAUGCAGUGUACCCGCGGCAAGACGGAAAGACCCCGUGAACCUUUACUAUAGCUUGACACUGAACACUGGUCCUUGAUGUGUAGGAUAGGUGGGAGGCUUUGAAGUGUGGACGCCAGUCUGCAUGGAGCCGUCCUUGAAAUACCACCCUUUAAUGGCUGGUGUUCUAACGUGGGCCCGUAAUCCGGGUUGCGGACAGUGUCUGGUGGGUAGUUUGACUGGGGCGGUCUCCUCCUAAAGAGUAACGGAGGAGCACGAAGGUUGGCUAAUCCUGGUCGGACAUCAGGAGGUUAGUGCAAUGGCAUAAGCCAGCUUGACUGCGAGCGUGACGGCGCGAGCAGGUGCGAAAGCAGGUCAUAGUGAUCCGGUGGUUCUGAAUGGAAGGGCCAUCGCUCAACGGAUAAAAGGUACUCCGGGGAUAACAGGCUGAUACCGCCCAAGAGUUCAUAUCGACGGCGGUGUUUGGCACCUCGAUGUCGGCUCAUCACAUCCUGGGGCUGAAGUAGGUCCCAAGGGUAUGGCUGUUCGCCAUUUAAAGUGGUACGCGAGCUGGGUUUAGAACGUCGUGAGACAGUUCGGUCCCUAUCUGCCGUGGGCGCUGGAGAACUGAGGGGGGCUGCUCCUAGUACGAGAGGACCGGAGUGGACGCAUCACUGGUGUUCGGGUUGUCAUGCCAAUGGCACUGCCCGGUAGCUAAAUGCGGAAGAGAUAAGUGCUGAAAGCAUCUAAGCACGAAACUUGCCCCGAGAUGAGUUCUCCCUGAGACUUAGAGUCUCCUGAAGGAACGUUGAAGACGACGACGUUGAUAGGCCGGGUGUGUAAGCGCAGCGAUGCGUUGAGCUAACCGGUACUAAUGAACCGUGAG
rnacentral:rRNA from 1 species